UGAUAGAAUACAAAGAUUGCGCCGAUAGGGGUGCAAAAAUUUUUCGUUCUGCGCAUCUACGUCAUAAUAUAAAAGUUGUUGUUGGCGAUCUGUCAAAUCGCAUACAAUUUCGACGAAAAAAAGUAAAUAUAGCAUAAAAUUUAGUUGAAAGUCUAAAAUAAAACAAUCUGGUGGCAAUUUAUUGAAUCGAGAAGACGGUAGUGGGUAGGGCGUUCAAAUAAAAAUUGCAUUCUGUGGCCGCCGUUGCGCUGGCAAACGGAACGAGUAAGAUUUCCAAAUGAAAUUGAAGCCACAGCAAAUAGUGCAAAACUCCAAGGCUUGGAAACAAAUAUAGAAGCUAUACGAUGCCAGAAAGACUACAGAGAAUCGAAGAGCGCUAACCAGGAAACAGCGUAAAAGGGCCAAUUCGUUGAGCAAGGGCGUGCUCAUAGCAUGGAAAUACAAUGCCAACAUAAAUUAAACUGCCAAGGCAUAAGCAAGAAUUUUUACCUGAAACUGUGACGCCUGCCCACAGCAUCAAAUAAGGAUAUCGUUCCAAUGAAACCCAAUAUUAACGACGUAUUUUGA